rnacentral:rRNA from 1 species
AGGGCACCACCAGGAGUGGAGCCUGCGGCUUAAUUUGACUCAACACGGGAAAACUUACCUGGUCAGGACACUGGAAGGAUUGUCAGAUUGAGAGCUCUUUCUUGAUUCAGUGGGUGGUGGUGCAUGGCCGUUCUUAGUUGGUGGGGCGAUUUGUCUGGUUAAUUCCGAUAACGAACGAGACUCUAGCCUACUAAAUAGACUGCUCAACUUUAUAGCUGCAUCACCUUGCAGUGGCUUCGGUUGCUGUAAGGCUGUGGUGACGUUGGCAGCGCUUCUUAGAGGGACAGGCGGCGGUUCAGCCGCACGAAACAGAGCAAUAACAGGUCUGUGAUGCCCUUAGAUGUCCAGGGCCGCACGCGCGCUACACUGAAGUGAUCAGCGUGCAAUUAACGUUUCCUACUCCGUCAGGAGUGGGUAACCCGUUGAACCUUCUUCGUGAUUGGGAUAGGGGAUUGUAAUUAUUCCCCUUGAACGAGGAAUUCCCAGUAAGCGCAAGUCAUAAGCUUGCGUUGAUUACGU